CCCGCCCCGAGGCGCUCGCCCAGGCUGGGAAAAGGGCCGGGGCGUCCUGGGCAGGGAGCCUCGGGCGGCCGCGGGGACUGCAGUUGUACCCCGGCGCAGGCGGGGCCGGAGACGCUGGGGCCCGGGCGCGCGGGAGGCGGGGGAGGGACCGGGGCUGGGGCCGGGGACGGGGGUGGGAGGGGACGGUGCACGGGUCAGCCCAUCUGGCCGGCCAGGGCGCCUCCAGAAAGCAGAGACCCUGGGAGUAGGGGGGCGGGGAUGUGAAGCCGCAGAGGGGCACCGUCCCCCGCCGUGGCGUCUGGGGCUGGGAGGAUCCUCCCCAUCCAACCCUCUCCCCAGACCGGGUUUGGGAAAACUUUAUUCCCGCGCCACCCGUCGCGCCUAGAACGGUGGCGGCGAGCUACGGCAGAGACUCCAGGACCUGAGUCCGGAGCUGCGGUGGGCGUAGGGCGCCUCCGGGGGUGGGACUCCGCGGCCGGUGUCGCAGGGGACGCGAGUCGAGAGCCGAGCGUCCCUUCGCCCUAAACCUGCCGGAGUUGCGACCUGGACGCAACAGGUCCAGCCUGGGGCGGCCCGGCAGCGCCACCCAGCGUCCAAGCCCGGCCUCGUGCGCAAGUCCGCCGCGGGCAGCUGGUGGCCGGCGAGGGCCGUGCGCCCUGGGGCGUGUCCAGCGCGCACCCCGCCGCCCGCCCGCCCGCCAGCCCGCGUGGCCGCAGCGCCCAGCACCCGAGGGCCUCCCAGCCCAAGGCCGCAGAGCUCGCGCUGGCUCGCCACCGCGGGAUUCGAGGGCGCACAUUGCCCUCCGCUGGUUCUCUUUAAAACGCCCGGCUGGUUCCCGGCUUAUCAGCUUUUCCAACGUUUUAACCUCCGGGCGCCUCUCUUGUCUUUUCGCCAGGAAGAAAAAUGGGUGAAGGUUCUGCCCCUGCCGGCGCGCCAGGGCUGUUUCCUGGGGACAAGUAAGAAAGUGUCAUCCACAAAAGAGGCUCGUGUAGCUCGCUCACCGCUGCACCUGCCGCAUCCGCUAGGCGCUCCAAGGACGCUUCUGUUCCCGCUUUGGACCCUUCGUGCCUUCGCCAUCCCCCAGCCCUCGGGCCGAGGCCCCGCAGAACUUGAGCCUUUUAGCGACAAUGGAAUACUGAUGUUCAGAAAGAAACGAGAAGAUGGAACUCCUUAAAGGAUUUGAGAAGAAUCACCCUUUGCAAGGCUAUGCUAAUAUUCUCUAACUCAUCUCAGUUGAAUGAUACUUGAAAUUUGUACACAUUUUUCUUUGAAAGCAACAAGAGUAAUUUUUUUUUAAGAUGUAGCAGUGUAAGAUUGUUUUUUCUUGAGAACGGAGGCAUACAGAGCAUCUCGUUGUAUGAGGGAACUAUGAAAAACCUACGGGGGCUGGCGCCACGGCAUAGUGGGUAAAGCUGCUGCCUGUGUCGCCGGCACCCCAUAUGGGUGCCUGUUCGAAUCCCAGCUGCUCCAAUUCUGAUCCAGCUCCUUGCUAAUGGCCUGGAAAAAGUGAUAGAAGAUGACCUAUAUCCCUGGGCCCUGAACCCAUGUAGGAAAUCCAGGAGAAGCUCCUGGCUGCUGGCUUCCGCCUGGCGGGGCUCUGGCUCUUGCAGCCAUGUGGGGAGUAAACCAGAGGAUGGAAGAUCUCUCUUUCUCUCACUCUGUUUUUCUCCAUCUGUCUCUCUCUUUCUCUUCCUUCCUCUCUGUAACUCUGACUUUCCAAUAAUAAAUUUAUUUCAGUUAUAUUUUUCCA
rnacentral:lncRNA from 1 species